UAAGUACUCCCUCCGUCCCAAAAUUCUUGUCUUAGAUUUGUCUAGAUACAGAUGUAUCUAAUACUAAAACGUGACUUGAUACAUCCGUAUCUAGACAAAUCUAAGACAAGAAUUUUGGGACGGAGGGAGUACAUG
rfam:Triticum aestivum genome assembly, contig: Triticum_aestivum_CS42_TGACv1_scaffold_471442_6AL